rnacentral:rRNA from 1 species
UACGUAGGUGGCAAGCGUUGUCCGGAUUUAUUGGGUUUAAAGGGUGCGUAGGCGGUUCAAUAAGUCAGUGGUGAAAUACGGCAGCUCAACUGUCGAGGUGCCAUUGAUACUGUUGGACUUGAGUACAGACGAGGUAGGCGGAAUUGACGGUGUAGCGGUGAAAUGCUUAGAUAUCGUCAAGAACACCGAUAGCGAAGGCAGCUUACUAGGCUGUAACUGACGCUGAGGCACGAAAGUGUGGGGAGCAAACAGG